CCAUUUUGUAAAGGAAUAAAUAAUAUGAAAAAUAGAAAAAUUCCAAUAAAAAAAAAAAAUACAGACGUCUUUGACAAAAAAAAAAAAAAAAAAAAAUACAGACAUCAGAGCAAACGAAGUGUUGAGGAAAGCAGACCACCAAGUCGACCACGAACACGACGUCCAACGGCCAAGGGACAUGGCAGCGAUGCUGUACCAGGUGGCCAAAACGACGUCGCAGAACCUGGUGACCUCUCCUCCAAAGCAAACGAGGCCCACCUCGCCGACAACCCAGAAAUCGUCGAAGCGGCCGAGGUUGUCGAAGAGGAAGGAGAUGGAGACUGAGAGCAGCUCAGUGAAGGCGAGCAGCAGCAGCAGUAGCAACGAACAUCGCGUGCCGCUCUCCGCCGUCGUGUCGGACUGCAUAAAGCGGUGGUUCAAGGACACGCUCAAGGAGGCCAAAGAUGGCGAUAUUAACAUGCAGGUUUUGGUGGGACAGAUGUAUUACAACGGCUAUGGCGUCCCCAGAGAUGACCACAUGGGAAGAGUAUGGAUUACAAGAGCGUCGAGGACGCGAUCUUCGGUUUGGAAAGUUAGUGAUAAGCAGCCAGGUUAUAAUGCAAGUGACUCAGAUUCAGAUGAACUGAAGGGUGAUUCUUAGCACGACGAAGUUGGCCUUCGUGUCCGAUCAAAUUUUGAGCUGAUUUUCAAGCUUAGAAUUUGCUCCUUUCCUUCCCUUCUACCAAGACAAGAGGAUGGAGCAACAGAUGUCGUAGGCUGUGCUUGGAGUCGUGCUGACCCUCGCCCGUCAUGGAUGUGCCUGUAACAAGAUUUAUACUUUCUUCAGUUAAUUUUGUUUAUUUUCUGGACGUAUCAAUGUACCUAAGCCUUUAUUUUCAUGGGAAGACAAUCAUUUGUUAA